GAUCAUGGCUCAGGACGAACGCUGGCGGCGUGCCUAAUACAUGCAAGUAGAACGCUGAAGGAGGAGCUUGCUUCUCUGGAUGAGUUGCGAACGGGUGAGUAACGCGUAGGUAACCUGCCUGGUAGCGGGGGAUAACUAUUGGAAACGAUAGCUAAUACCGCAUAAUAUUGACUAUUGCAUGAUAGUUGAUUAAAAGGUGCAAUUGCACCACUACCAGAUGGACCUGCGUUG
rnacentral:rRNA from 1 species